UUAAGCGACUAAGCGUACACGGUGGAUGCCCUGGCAGUCAGAGGCGAUGAAGGACGUGCUAAUCUGCGAUAAGCGUCGGUGAGGUGAUAUGAACCGUUAUAACCGGCGAUUUCCGAAUGGGGAAACCCAGUGUGUUUCGACACACUAUCAUUAACUGAAUCCAUAAGUUAAUGAGGCGAACCGGGGGAACUGAAACAUCUAAGUACCCCGAGGAAAAGAAAUCAACCGAGAUUCCCCCAGUAGCGGCGAGCGAACGGGGAGGAGCCCAGAGCCUGAAUCAGUGUGUGUGUUAGUGGAAGCGUCUGGAAAGGCGCGCGAUACAGGGUGACAGCCCCGUACACAAAAAUGCACAUGCUGUGAGCUCGAUGAGUAGGGCGGGACACGUGGUAUCCUGUCUGAAUAUGGGGGGACCAUCCUCCAAGGCUAAAUACUCCUGACUGACCGAUAGUGAACCAGUACCGUGAGGGAAAGGCGAAAAGAACCCCGGCGAGGGGAGUGAAAAAGAACCUGAAACCGUGUACGUACAAGCAGUGGGAGCCUCUUAAUGGGGUGACUGCGUACCUUUUGUAUAAUGGGUCAGCGACUUAUAUUCUGUAGCAAGGUUAACCGAAUAGGGGAGCCGAAGGGAAACCGAGUCUUAACUGGGCGUUAAGUUGCAGGGUAUAGACCCGAAACCCGGUGAUCUAGCCAUGGGCAGGUUGAAGGUUGGGUAACACUAACUGGAGGACCGAACCGACUAAUGUUGAAAAAUUAGCGGAUGACUUGUGGCUGGGGGUGAAAGGCCAAUCAAACCGGGAGAUAGCUGGUUCUCCCCGAAAGCUAUUUAGGUAGCGCCUCGUGAAUUCAUCUCCGGGGGUAGAGCACUGUUUCGGCAAGGGGGUCAUCCCGACUUACCAACCCGAUGCAAACUGCGAAUACCGGAGAAUGUUAUCACGGGAGACACACGGCGGGUGCUAACGUCCGUCGUGAAGAGGGAAACAACCCAGACCGCCAGCUAAGGUCCCAAAGUCAUGGUUAAGUGGGAAACGAUGUGGGAAGGCCCAGACAGCCAGGAUGUUGGCUUAGAAGCAGCCAUCAUUUAAAGAAAGCGUAAUAGCUCACUGGUCGAGUCGGCCUGCGCGGAAGAUGUAACGGGGCUAAACCAUGCACCGAAGCUGCGGCAGCGACACUAUGUGUUGUUGGGUAGGGGAGCGUUCUGUAAGCCUGUGAAGGUGGCCUGUGAGGGUUGCUGGAGGUAUCAGAAGUGCGAAUGCUGACAUAAGUAACGAUAAAGCGGGUGAAAAGCCCGCUCGCCGGAAGACCAAGGGUUCCUGUCCAACGUUAAUCGGGGCAGGGUGAGUCGACCCCUAAGGCGAGGCCGAAAGGCGUAGUCGAUGGGAAACAGGUUAAUAUUCCUGUACUUGGUGUUACUGCGAAGGGGGGACGGAGAAGGCUAUGUUGGCCGGGCGACGGUUGUCCCGGUUUAAGCGUGUAGGCUGGUUUUCCAGGCAAAUCCGGAAAACCAAGGCUGAGGCGUGAUGACGAGGCACUACGGUGCUGAAGCGACAAAUGCCCUGCUUCCAGGAAAAGCCUCUAAGCAUCAGGUAACAUCAAAUCGUACCCCAAACCGACACAGGUGGUCAGGUAGAGAAUACCAAGGCGCUUGAGAGAACUCGGGUGAAGGAACUAGGCAAAAUGGUGCCGUAACUUCGGGAGAAGGCACGCUGAUAUGUAGGUGAAGCGACUUGCUCGUGGAGCUGAAAUCAGUCGAAGAUACCAGCUGGCUGCAACUGUUUAUUAAAAACACAGCACUGUGCAAACACGAAAGUGGACGUAUACGGUGUGACGCCUGCCCGGUGCCGGAAGGUUAAUUGAUGGGGUUAGCGGCAACGCGAAGCUCUUGAUCGAAGCCCCGGUAAACGGCGGCCGUAACUAUAACGGUCCUAAGGUAGCGAAAUUCCUUGUCGGGUAAGUUCCGACCUGCACGAAUGGCGUAAUGAUGGCCAGGCUGUCUCCACCCGAGACUCAGUGAAAUUGAACUCGCUGUGAAGAUGCAGUGUACCCGCGGCAAGACGGAAAGACCCCGUGAACCUUUACUAUAGCUUGACACUGAACAUUGAGCCUUGAUGUGUAGGAUAGGUGGGAGGCUUUGAAGUGUGGACGCCAGUCUGCAUGGAGCCGACCUUGAAAUACCACCCUUUAAUGUUUGAUGUUCUAACGUGGGCCCGUUAUCGGGGUUGCGGACAGUGUCUGGUGGGUAGUUUGACUGGGGCGGUCUCCUCCUAAAGAGUAACGGAGGAGCACGAAGGUUGGCUAAUCCUGGUCGGACAUCAGGAGGUUAGUGCAAUGGCAUAAGCCAGCUUGACUGCGAGCGUGACGGCGCGAGCAGGUGCGAAAGCAGGUCAUAGUGAUCCGGUGGUUCUGAAUGGAAGGGCCAUCGCUCAACGGAUAAAAGGUACUCCGGGGAUAACAGGCUGAUACCGCCCAAGAGUUCAUAUCGACGGCGGUGUUUGGCACCUCG
rnacentral:rRNA from 1 species